UUUCUUUCUUUGCAGAAGACUCUUUCUAAAUCUUCAUUUCUAUAUUUCUAAAAUGAGAGGCAAUAGUAGUUCCCCUCUCUCUUCCCCAACUCACUCCACAGGUUUUUGUGAUGGCCAUUCAAAUUGAGAACAAGGAUCUAGGAUCUUCUGACUCCCCCCAUUCAGUGUGAGCGGCUUUGGAGUCUGACUUCCUAAACUCAAUCUCAGGACUGUUGGCAGGAAUAAAUGAGGAUGGGGCACAAGGAAUUAGACCAAGCCCAGACCCAGACUUGCCACUCAGCCUUGCUCAUCAACACCACCAACUGGGAAUUGGCCAGAUCAAGCACCAUUUACCCCAGAAACACCCGGCCAGCUCACUGGGUAGUUGGUGGACCUUCGAGGUGGCCACACUGCUUCGAUGCCAGAGCUCCUUCUCCUAUGUGACAACUGUCUGAUUCAUUUCUAGAUGUAGAAUUACAGGACCAAAGGUAAUGAAACUUUUAUUCUUUCUACACAUAACCAGCAAUAUACCAGAAAGACCUGAUUAAUUUUGCUACCAAAAGUAAUGUUUGAGAAUG